AAAUUAUGGUGCCAGGAGGCCCAUGUGGACACUCUUGGAGUUUAAACCCAAAGUUGCCUUCAGGUGGUAUCUCAGCUGUCGUUUUCAGGAAGCAUAGAGUACCAUUGCACAAUGACAGCUAUCAAACCAAUCGGUGACUUCCCAUUCACAAAACUGGUUUGGAAAAGUUUUACUGAGAUUGCAGGUGGAAACAGCUUUGAGGUUAAACUGCUCAAGAACCCUUUCUGGUAAGAGUGCCACAUAACAAAUCCCUAAAUAUGCCUUUACUAGAGCAAAGUUAAUGGGAAGCAUUUUCCCCAGCAAAGUGAGGUCUCCUAUUGUGGAGCUACUUAAAUCUCUCGACUUUCAUGAGUGAAGGUACCAUCUCUCAGUAAAGUCUACAGGGGUACUGUAGGUGAUGAGCAAGUAGUCCCUAGAGAUCUAUAACACAAUGUUGGUGAC